ensembl:snoRNA U8 U8 small nucleolar RNA
ACAUAAGUAGGAUGAUCCUUACCUGGUCCUUUUGGGGGGAGGGCUUGGAACUAGAUGAUUGGAGUUUCCAACAAUACAUGAUUAACGUCUCUGUGUAAUCAAGACUUACAAUGCCCUGAUUGCUCCUAUCUUCU